AGUCACUGACGUGGUCUUCCUGUCUGGGUUGGCACCCCCCGUUUGGUUGUGCCGUGGCGGAGAUCUUUGUGGGCUAUACUCUGCCUUGUCUCAGGAUGCGGCAGGGACUGGGAGACUAGUCAGGAUCGAGGAAAAGAUGAACGGAGCAAAGUACAGAGAUAUCUUUGACGAAAACCUGCUCCAGAGCGCUUAGGACCUCAGACUGGAGCGAACGUUCACCUUCCAACAGGACAACGACCCUAAGCACACAGCCAAGACAACGCAGGAGCGGCUUCGGGACAAGUCUCUGAAUGUCCUUGAGUGGUCCAGCCAGAGCCCAGACUUGAACCUGAUCGAACAUCUCUGGAGAGACUUGAAAAUAGCUGUGCAGUGACGCUCCCCAUCCUACCUGACAGAGGUUGAAAGUAUCUGCAGAGAAGAAUGGGAGAAACUCCCUAAAUACAGGUGUACCAAGCUUGUAGCGUCAUACCCAAAACUCAAGGCUGUAAUCGCUGCCAAAGGUGAUUCAACAAAGUACUGAGUAAAUGGUCUGAAUACUUUUGUAAAUGUGAUAUUUCAGUUUUCUUUUUAUACAUUUACCAACAUUUCUAAAAACCUGUUUUUGGUUUGUCAUUAUGGGGUAUUGUGUGUAGAUUGAUGAGGGGGGAAAACUAUUUCAUCCAUUAUAAAUAAGGCUGUAACGUAACAAAAUGUGGAAAAAGUCAAGGGGUCUGAAUACUUUCCAAAUGCACUGUAUACCCUAUAUGUACAAAAGUAUGUGGAUACCCAUUCAAAUUAGUGGAUUCUGCUAUUUCAGCCACACCCGAUGCUGACAGAUGUAUAAAAUUGAGCACACAGCCAUGUGAUCUCCAUAGACAAACGUUGGCAGUAGAAUGGCCUUACUGAAAAGCUCAGUAACUUUCAACGUGGCACUGUCAUAGGAUGCCACCUUUCCAACAAGUAUAUUUGUCAAAUGCCCCAAUGCAUAGUGCACACUGUAAAGUUUGGUGGAGGAGGAAUAAUGGUCUGGGGCUGUUUUUCAUGGUUCAGGCUCCAUAGUUCUAGUGAAGGAAAAUCUUAACUCUACAGCAAACAAUGACAUUCUAGAUGAUUCUGUGCUUCCAACUUUGUGGUAACAGUUAGGGGAAGGCCCUUUCCUUUUUUUAUGAUUAUUAUUAUUAGUUUUUAUUAACAACAAAUCAAUACAGGGAGUACAUGUGGGAACACAAGUAUAUAUGAAUAAUAUACAAUGGACAAUUGGGCUAGGGGGUACAAUAUCACAUUACACAAGGACCUUAUUAAGGGACAUACCUACACUUAUAAUUCUAACUGCUUUUUUGUUAGUAGAGUAUUUGUCUUAAAAUAUAGUUCUAUUUCUUUUUGUAAGGUAAGAAUUUGUUUUUUGUUUGUAAAUUUACAUUUGUGAAUAUGAAAUUUGGCCAAAAGAAUAAUGAAAUGAAUUUCAUAAAAAUGUUUCAGCUUAUUUCUAUCAUAGGUAAAGAAUCCAAGCAAUACAUCUCUCC
rnacentral:lncRNA from 1 species